CUUGUCAGGCUUGUUCAAGGAACAUGGAGAGAUACGCCAUUUCCAAGCCCACCAGCAACAUUCCAGUCUCUCUACACCUUUUCUGAUAAGUUAUGGGCAGCCUUUUCAGUGAUGGCCACCCAGAUCAGCAGAUCUGGUAUGGACUCAGCUGUCCAUGGUGCUAUGCCUGCUCAGAGCAGUUUGCCCCGCUGGAGCCUCAGCAGAGGGGUGUCUCUUGUACAUUUCCUGGACCCCUUUCUCCUGCUUGUGGAUUUCCUCAUCUGCCCCAGAACCCUGAGCUUGGGAGCCACCUGGAUAGGGCGCCUGGGUUUGCUAAAACACUUUGAAGAUGGUGGCAGACCCCUUUCCAGAGGUGUGAACUGGGGGCAUCUCCUGAGCCCUACCUCCUAAGACGUCCUGGCCUCCUGCAGACUGCAGCCCAGCUCCCUCAGGUGGGUCUGUCACUCUGACCUGGCCACUCUGUGCUUUCCUCUCACCACUCCACACUUGGCCUCAGGAAGUUUCCAGACACUUCCCCUCUAGCCUCCUCAGACCCCACCAUUACCCACUCCAGCAAGCUGUGAUCUCCAGGACCGCAUGCCACGAUGCUAUCUACUUACCGACUUUUAGAAGUUGUGACAGCUUCAGGGAAGCACACCACCAACUUCAUCCGGAAGAUGAGUCACUUCCUCCCUCAUGGACUGCGAGUCUGAGGGUAGAAGGCAGGAAUAGCAGUGACCCACAGCUGCAGAGGCUUAUGGGAUGCUCACUCAGAGGGCCUGGCUCACACGGCACUUCUGGAAAGGCCAGCCUGACGUUAGGGCUAAGGCUGGGCUAGGCAGGAUCCUUCUUUGCUGCUGCUAUGGGGAGAGGGAGGAGAGGACCUGGACCAGCAUCCUUGCAUCCCUCACAGCUGUUUAUCCAGGGUUCUGUCAGCUUGCGUCUGGAGAUUCCCCUACAGCCGUCACUCCAGAGCAUGCCCUCCAUUCAGCACACAAGGUCUCUUCGGUUCUAGAACACAUGUCAAGUGUUCUGGGUGAUGCUGGCCUUAUGCAAAUGCUAUCCUCUCUUCGAUAUGUAGAGAGAGCAUACUGUGUGGCCCUAGCAAGGGAAGAGACCAGGUCUCAGGUCUUUCAAAUGAAGUGGCCUCCCAAAGGCAAGGGCAGGGUAGAUUUCCCCAGAAAAUAGGAGAGGGUAUGAGGUCUCUCGCUCACCACAGCACAUCCCAGGCUAGCUGGCUUGAGAGCUUACGAGGACCCUCCUCUUUCUGCUCUCAUGUCGCCAUAGAAGUGCUGAAUUAAAGAUCUGCCCUGUGGUGCCAGGCUUUACACGUGCUCUGGAGAUCCACAUUCAGGUCCUCAUGCUUACAUCACAAGCGUGUUACCCACUGAGCCAUCUCCCUAGCCCUGAAGUCUCCUGAAUGCGAGAUGGGAAACCACCUUUAAGAUCUGGUCAUCAAGGGGAGGUGGUUUUGCAUAAACAAGCCAACCUAGUCUUCAGAGCAAUUUAGGCCUGAGCUCAGCUAAUGACCAGCCACAUGGCAGUGGGUGGUUAUUUAGUGUUUUCUAAGCUUCUGUCUCCUUGCUGUAAAAUGAAUGUGUUGCCAGGUGUCUCCCUGUACACCUGAAAUCCUAGCUCUCAGGAGUUUGAGGUAAGACUCUCACUUUAAGUUCGAGGCCAGUCUAGACUAUGUAACAAGCUUGAGGCAAGUUUGGGCUACAUUGUGAGAUCCUGACUCACAAAUCACCCAAAAUAAGCCAAAUAUUAAAAAUGGACGCAUCGAUGAAGACUUACAUCACAGUACAUCCGGCACUGUUCUCAGUACAGGGAUUGGCUCAGCCAAUGCUCCCAACAACCUAUUAGAAUCUCCAGUUUCUAGAUGAGGAAGCAGAGACACAGAGGAACUAAAGCAUUUGUUCAAGGUCACAGAGCUGGCAAGGGACAGGUCAAGAUCAGAGCCCAGGCCAUAUCCCUAGUCAGAUCUCUGAGUCAGAGGCCAGUCAUGAACUUGGUCCACAGCCAUUAGUCCCCAUGCCUUGGGUUGGACCACUUGCUCCACUGAAGACUGUCUGGGUGGUCUUGGCUGGUCGCUUGCCUUGUCAAAUCUCAGUUCUCCCCAUAUAACAGAAACCAUU
rnacentral:lncRNA from 1 species